UGGGGGGGGAAAGUUAGGAAGAUUCCAAGGGCCCACGACUUGAUAGGGGCCCAUUGAGAUAUAAAAAUAUAUAAGAAAAUUAUUAAGCAUUAUCUAGAAAUAAUAGCUAUUUUUUCAAGUAUAAUGAGAAAAUGUAGCAGUAAAAUAAAUUGCCACUCUGUUCUAACUUAUUUUUCAGUAGUAAAAUGAUAAAAAAAAAAUUGUUAUUGACGGCCACCUCCAUAAAACUAAAUGGUUUGGUCCUGGCUGUAAUAGCGCAUCAGUUUGAAUGAACCUGUCGGAAGCAUCGAAUAUUAAAAAUGCAGCGAGGGAAAAAUAAGUCGGGUUUUCAAAAAAGGAGAGAGCGAAAGGAGCGAAAUGAAAGACAGAAGAGAGGAUGCCAAUAUGUGACCCAUUUUUUCACCAAGAAAGAUGAGCCAGCAGCAGCCCCAUCUCCACAUAACCCGUCCCCCACCUGUCCCAAUGAAGAAGGUGAGCAAUGUUCAAAGACCAGUUAGAAUCAUUACAGAGUAUGAGAAUUUCUCUUUUUACCAUCCAAACAAUACAAAAGAUUUUUUGACAGAAAUUGACUAACCCUUUUUUUUCUACAUAACAAUCA